rnacentral:lncRNA from 1 species
GAAUCAUCUUUGCAGAAUAAAAAAAUUACAUACGUAAUACCAUACCUGUUCUAUAUACGUAUACAUUUAUAUUAUUACGCCUGGCUUGCAUUGAAAACUCUCAAAUUUCAAGAAAAACGCGCUAAAAUUAUCAAUAUUAAUAAUGUUUUGAGAAACGUUGGAAAAUUUGAUGACAUAUUCUUCACGGAAGCAUCGCCAAUAGCCGACCGUAGAAAAUGUUGAAAUUACCUUAUGUGUGCUAUAAGAACAAAAUAUCGAUAACUAUGUGUGACGUUUCUAAGGG